rnacentral:rRNA from 1 species
GACGUGAUAUCAGGCAA